AUAGAGAGGGCCGGGGGUUAGAAAGACUUCCUUGUGAAUCACCCCUCUUCAGACAAUGAGCAUCUGAAUUGAUUCCCUCUACUCCACCCCUUCUACAAAGUCCCUUGAGGCCAUCUGAGAAGAACAAUGGGAUGGGGUGGAGACACUGGGAUCCCAAAAUGCCCUGGUAGUGACAUGCCAAGCUGGACACCAUCACAGGAUGAAGACCACUGUGAAAGUUGUGAUGUGUCUAUUCCUUAUCCUUGGUUUGAUACUCUACCCUGCUGGCUGGGGUUGCCAGAAGGCCGUGGACUACUGUGGACAUUAUGCAUCUGCCUACAAACCUGGAGACUGCUCCUUGGGCUGGGCCUUUUAUACCGCCAUCGGGGGCACAGUCCUCACUUUCAUCUGUGCUGUCUUCUCCGCACAAGCAGAAAUUGCAACCUCUAGUGACAAAGUACAGGAAGAAAUUGAAGAGGGGAAAAACCUCAUCUGCCUCCUUUAGUUUGGAAGAGACAAUGCCAUUUUCUCCCUUGAGUAAUCUUGUGAAACAGUCCACAGUUUCAUCAUUUGAGUCAAGUGGAGAACUA
rnacentral:sRNA from 1 species